rnacentral:rRNA from 1 species
CGGACGGGUGAGUAACGCGUGAGCAACCUGCCUUUCAGAGAGGGAUAACGUUUGGAAACGAACGCUAAUACCGCAUGACAUUAUCUUAUCGCAUGGUAGGAUAAUCAAAGGAGCAAUCCGCUGAAAGAUGGGCUCGCGUCCGAUUAGGUAGUUGGUGGGGUAACGGCCCACCAAGCCGACGAUCGGUAGCCGGACUGAGAGGUUGGACGGCCACAUUGGGACUGAGACACGGCCCAGACUCCUACGGGAGGCAGCAG